CUCCUCACAGGAAAGACCACCACGAGCCACACGAAUGUCAGAGGCUAGCAGGAUGAACAUACAGUAUUUGCUGCCUCUUGAGAAUGCCCCUUACCAAGACUUUGAAAUUGGCUUUGCUCUGAGCACAGCUCACACUCUGCUGCUGUGCACAUGGCUUUCAAAAGAAAGUCUAACCUCACCACCUCCAAGCUGGGCACGAUGACGCACACCUGCAAUCCCCGCACCCUGAGAAGCUGAGGUAGGGAUUAUGAACUUGAGCACUUCUGGGGCAACUUAAUGACCUUGAGGUCCUGUCUCAAAAUUUAAAAAUUUAAAACAGGGGCUGGGGAUAUAGCUCACUGUGAAGGCACUGGGUUUAAUCCUUUCCUCUGCCUGACCCCAAAUAAUUGAAAGACUUCCUAUUGAUCACAGGGUUUGUGAGAAAAGAAUGUAAAGGACUUUGACAAAAUCAUUUGCAAAUGUACCCAAGCAGGAAGAGGAGGAGGAGGAGAAAAACAUAAAUGAAAUUAAAAGGCAAAGUAUCAACUAGGAAAAAAAUGUGUUUCCUACAAAUAGGACACGGAAUCUUGGGUUCCACUGUGAUCAACACCUGACCCAGCCCCAAAUGGAUCGGUUGAUGGGGUGGGUACAACGUCACUAGAAUAAACAUAAAAUGUGAUAAUAAUGUGUUGACACCAUCAGUCAAGAACUGAAAUAUGAAGUGACUAGCUUUCCCAUCCUUCAAAGUAACGCAGAAC
rnacentral:lncRNA from 1 species